rnacentral:rRNA from 1 species
GACGUAGGGCGCGAGCGUUGUCCGGAUUUAUUGGGCGUAAAGAGCUCGUAGGCGGCUUGUCGCGUCGAAUGUGAAAACUCGGGGCUCAACUCCGAGCUUGCAUUCGAUACGGGCAGGCUAGAGUUCGGUAGGGGAGACUGGAAUUCCUGGUGUAGCGGUGAAAUGCGCAGAUAUCAGGAGGAACACCGGUGGCGAAGGCGGGUCUCUGGGCAGUAACUGACGCUGAGGAGCGAAAGCGUGGGUAGCAAACAGG